rnacentral:rRNA from 1 species
GGGUUUAGACCCACGGCGAACGGGUGAGUAAUACCUAGGAACAUCCCUCUAGUUGAGCAUAACCUGCCGAAAGGCAGGACAAUUCUCAAUGUGGCAGCAAUGCUAAAGUCGCAAGACGCUAGAGAAAUGGCCUGGGCACCAUCAGCUAGUUGGUAAGGUAAAGGCUUACCAAGGCUAUGACGGUUAGGGGCCCCGAGAGGGGAAACCCCCACACUGGAACUGCGACACGGUCCAG